UGCUCUUCUUGGGACAUUUGGAGAUGCUC
rnacentral:piRNA from 1 species